UACGAAGGGGGCUAGCGUUGCUCGGAAUUACUGGGCGUAAAGGGCUCGUAGGCGGCCAACUAAGUCAAACGUGAAAUCCCUCGGCUUAACCGGGGAACUGCGUCUGAUACUGGAUGGCUUGAGUUUGGGAGAGGGAUGCGGAAUUCCAGGUGUAGCGGUGAAAUGCGCAGAUAUCAGGAGGAACACCAAUAGCGAAGGCAGCUCGCUGGGACGGUACUGACGCUAAGGCGCGAAAGCGUGGGGAGCGAACAGG
rnacentral:rRNA from 1 species